AGCGAACGCUGGCGGCAGGCUUAACACAUGCAAGUCGAGCGGGCAUAGCAAUAUGUCAGCGGCAGACGGGUGAGUAACGCGUGGGAACGUACCUUUUGGUUCGGAACAACACAGGGAAACUUGUGCUAAUACCGGAUAAGCCCUUACGGGGAAAGAUUUAUCGCCGAAAGAUCGGCCCGCGUCUGAUUAGCUAGUUGGUGAGGUAAUGGCUCACCAAGGCGACGAUCAGUAGCUGGUCUGAGAGGAUGAUCAGCCACAUUGGGACUGAGACACGGCCCAAACUCCUACGGGAGGCAGCAGUGGGGAAUAUUGGACAAUGGGCGCAAGCCUGAUCCAGCCAUGCCGCGUGAGUGAUGAAGGCCCUAGGGUUGUAAAGCUCUUUCACCGGAGAAGAUAAUGACGGUAUCCGGAGAAGAAGCCCCGGCUAACUUCGUGCCAGCAGCCGCGGUAA
rnacentral:rRNA from 1 species